UUGGAGGGCAAGUCUGGUGCCAGCAGCCGCGGUAAUUCCAGCUCCAAUAGCGUAUAUUAAAGUUGCUGCAGUUAAAAAGCUCGUAGUUGAAUUUCGGGACCAUCAUGUCGGUCGUGCCUCGGUACGUACUGGCAUCGUCGGUUUCUCCCUUCUGACGAACCAUGAUGUCAUUUAUUUGGUGUUGUGGGGAAUCAGGACUGUUACUUUGAAAAAAUUAGAGUGUUUAAAGCAGGCUCACGCUUGAAUACAUUAGCAUGGAAUAAUGAAAUAGGACGUUUGAUUCUAUUUUGUUGGUUUCUAGGAUCGACGUAAUGAUUAAUAGGGAUAGUUGGGGGCAUUAGUAUUCAAUUGUCAGAGGUGAAAUUCUUGGAUUUAUUGAAGACUAACUACUGCGAAAGCAUUUGCCAAGGAUGUUUUCAUUAAUCAAGAACGAAAGUUAGGGGAUCGAAGACGAUCAGAUACCGUCGUAGUCUUAACCAUAAACUAUGCCGACUAGGGAUCGGAUGAUGUUAAUUUUUUAAUGACUCAUUCGGCGCCUUACGGGAAACCAAAGUGUUUGGGUUC
rnacentral:rRNA from 1 species